AUUGAACGCUGGCGGCAUGCCGUACACAUGCAAGUCGAACGGCAGCACGGGUGCUUGCACCUGGUGGCGAGUGGCGAACGGGUGAGUAAUACAUCGGAACAUGUCCUGUAGUGGGGGAUAGCCCGGCGAAAGCCGGAUUAAUACCGCAUACGAUCUACGGAUGAAAGCGGGGGACCUUCGGGCCUCGCGCUAUAGGGUUGGCCGAUAGCUGAUUAGCUAGUUGGUGGGGUAAAGGCCUACCAAGGCGACGAUCAGUAGCUGGUCUGAGAGGACGACCAGCCACACUGGGACUGAGACACGGCCCAGACUCCUACGGGAGGCAGCAGUGGGGAAUUUUGGACAAUGGGCGAAAGCCUGAUCCAGCAAUGCCGCGUGUGUGAAGAAGGCCUUCGGGUUGUAAAGCACUUUUGUCCGGAAAGAAAUCCUUGGCUCUAAUACAGUCGGGGGAUGACGGUACCGGAAGAAUAAGCACCGGCUAACUACGUG
rnacentral:rRNA from 1 species